rnacentral:rRNA from 1 species
CCUACGGGAGGCAGCAGUGGGGAAUUUUGGACAAUGGGGGCAACCCUGAUCCAGCCAUGCCGCGUGAGUGAAGAAGGCCUUCGGGUUGUAAAGCUCUUUCGGCCGGGACGAAAUCGCAUAGGCGAAUAUCCUGUGUGGAUGACGGUACCGGAAUAAGAAGCACCGGCUAACUACGUGCCAGCAGCCGCGGUAAUACGUAGGGUGCGAGCGUUAAUCGGAAUUACUGGGCGUAAAGCGUGCGCAGGCGGUUUUGUAAGCCAGAUGUGAAAUCCCCGGGCUUAACCUGGGAACUGCAUUUGGGACUGCACGGCUAGAGUACGGCAGAGGGGGGUAGAAUUCCUGGUGUAGCAGUGAAAUGCGUAGAUAUCAGGAGGAAUACCGAUGGCGAAGGCAGCCCCCUGGGUCGAUACUGACGCUCAUGCACGAAAGCGUGGGGAGCAAACAGGAUUAGAUACCCUGGUAGUCCACGCCCUAAACGAUGUCAACUAGUUGUUGGAGGCCUUACCGCCUUUAGUAACGCAGCUAACGCGUGAAGUUGACCGCCUGGGGAGUACGGUCGCAAGAUUAAAACUCAAAAGUAGUAGUACGGACGUCGUAGGACGUAGUCGACGAGGACCAACGACGGGAGGGUUAGGAGG